AUACGGAGGAUCCGAGCGUUAUCCGGAUUUAUUGGGCUUAAAGGGCGCGUAGGUGGAUUGUUAAGUCAGUUGUGAAAGUUUGCGGCUCAACCGGAGAAUUGCAGUUGAAACUGGCAGUCUUGAGUACAGAAGAGGAGGGCGGAAUUCGUCGUGUAGCGGUGAAAUGCUUAGAUAUCACGAAGAACUCCGAUUGCGAAGGCAGCUCACUAGACUGGUACUGACGCUGAUGCUCGAAAGUGUGGGUAUCAAACAGGAUUAGAUACCCUGGUAGGCCACACAGUAAACGAGGAAUGCGCUCUGUUGGCGAUAUACAGUAAGCGGCCAAGCGAAAGCAUUAAGUAUUCCCCCUGGGAGUACGCCGGCAACGGUGAAACUCAAAGGAAUUGGCGGGG
rnacentral:rRNA from 1 species